UCCUAUAUGAGAGAUGUCUCUCUCUUUCAUCCUCUAAACGUUUAAAACUUUUGCUAUUGAUUAAACAUUUGAUUUUUUGUUCUUCUGUUAAACACGCGCGCAAUGUAUGGGGGCUUCGGAAAGGGCAUGUACGUUUAAUGAGAACAAAGUACAACGCAGAUGCUCACAACGCACGCACACUCCGCCUGAGAAGGCACGCACGCAAACCCCCUAUGAGCACCUCCGAAACGUCGUCUCCCACUGAAAGUCUAAAGCCGUUAGAGUCCUGGAAAAUUCGCUUCAACGAGGAGUCGAACCCAGGACCUCAGGUGCUACUGAGAUCUUUAUAACCACUAGGUUGCAGGCU
rnacentral:lncRNA from 1 species